CAGUGAAUUGUAAUACGACUCACUAUAGGGCGAAUUGGGCCCUCUAGAUGCAUGCUCGAGCGGCCGCCAGUGUGAUGGAUAUCUGCAGAAUUCGCCCUUCAGGCCUAACACAUGCAAGUCGAACGCCCUCUUCGGAGGGAGUGGCAGACGGGUGAGUAACACGUGGGAACGUGCCCGAAGGUACGGAACAACUCCGGGAAACUGGAGCUAAUACCGUAUGUGUCCGCAAGGAGAAAGAUUUAUCGCCUUCGGAUCGGCCCGCGUCAGAUUAGCUAGUUGGUGGGGUAAAAGCCUACCAAGGCGACGAUCUGUAGCUGUUCUUAGAGGAAGACCAGCCACACUGGGACUGAGACACGGCCCAGACUCCUACGGGAGGCAGCAGUGGGGAAUCUUGGACAAUGGGCGCAAGCCUGAUCCAGCCAUGCCGCGUGGAUGACGAAGGCCUUAGGGUUGUAAAAUCCUUUCAGCGGGGACGAUAAUGA
rnacentral:rRNA from 1 species